rnacentral:lncRNA from 1 species
CUAGAGUUGCUCUUCGCGAUCCCCGCGGGGUGAGCACCGUACCCCUCACAAUCUCUUCUCCGGAGCACCGCACAAUCUCCUUGCGUGCUUCGAUGGAGUCACAAGCCACCAAGAUGUCUAGGAGGUGGCAACCUCCAAAAGUAACAAGCACCACCGGCUUGCAACACGAGCACCUAGUGCCACUCAAUGCAAUCUCUCAAUGCAAUGCACUAGAAUCACUCACUCGCUAUUGAUUCGCACUCUUGCAAGCACAAGUGAGUUAGAGGCUUUCCUAGCACUCCCCAAGCAUGGACACUAAGUCCCAAGGGUGCUCAGCACCAGCCAAGGCCGACCACCACUUCUAUUUAUAGCCCCUAGGGCAAAACUAG